UGCUUUUCUAUUUAAAUUUUGAUGUCGACAACAACCAAGAUUAAUCUUCUUCGGGUGCUUUAGCCCAGUCCAAUAGAGAUUUACGGAAAUUGUUGGAAUUGUCGUAGGUGAGAACGGUAGAAUAUGUUUCCGGCAGUGAUUUGACGGUGGUAUUGAGCACGUUCAUGGAGUAGAUGUAGACUUGCCACUUGACGGAGAACCUCGGAUAUCAAUUCUAGGGGAAUUUCUUCUUUGAGCCCUGUUUAUAAAUUCACAUUUUCAUUCUCAUUCUCAUUCUCGAUCUCCUUUCAUCAUUAGUUCAUCAAACCAAAAACCCAUCUCAACCCUCUUCCUCUCUGCAAAAAUUGUCGCUAAUACUUCCCUCUUCGUAAAGGGAGACGACGUAAUAAAAAAAAUCAUAUCCACCUUAAAUUGGUGGACAAGAACGAUGAGGUCAACUAUGAAUCCGCCAUACAGGAUAUUAACAGGCAAGAUAGUAUAUUGGGUACGAGAGACCCAAACCUCCCAACAUUUUGAAAUAUCAAGAACAUUUCCCUACCAAGUUCAUAUAUCAAGAACAUUUCCCUACCAAGUUCAUUCUCUCGAAUUCCCUAGAAUUGAUAUAAGAG
rnacentral:lncRNA from 1 species